UACCAGCACCCCGAGUGGUCGGGACGAUUAUUGGGCCUAAAGCAUCCGUAGCCGGUUUUACAAGUCCUCCGUUAAAUCCAGCUGCUUAACAGAUGGGCUGCGGAGGAUACUAUAAGACUAGGAGGCAGGAGAGGCAAGCGGUACUCAGUGGGUAGGGGUAAAAUCCGUUGAUCCAUUGAAGACCACCAGUGACGAAGGCGGCUUGCCAGAAUGCGCUCGACGGUGAGGGAUGAAAGCUGGGGGAGCAAACCGG
rnacentral:rRNA from 1 species